ensembl:processed_transcript
GUAUUCUCAUUAAACAUGAAGAGAAAGAAGUAUGUCCAGAGGUCUGUAUAAGGUGACCUUUGAAAGUUAUCAGGGGUGCCAUGGGCUGAGUAAGAAAACCGGAACUGCAGUUCAACUCCGCCCAGCUUGGGGAUGAGUCACUGUUUUCAAAUUCAUGAACAAAGCACACAAAUUCAGACUAAUACAAGCAAGAAGCAGCAGAGAGACACAAAGGGCCACAGCAUCCCUGACCCUCACUGUAGUCUAGUAACACCAGUUCUAGGGCUGCAGAGAUGCUCAGGGCUCAGAAGCACUAAGUGCUCUUACAGAGAACAUGAGUUCAAUUCCCAGAACCCACAUGGUACCUCACAACUGUCUAUUUCAUACAUGUGGUGUACAGACACACAAGCAGGCAGAACACCAAUACACAUACUUUUUUUUUAGAA